rnacentral:tRNA from 2 species
UGAAGAUUAGCUCAGUGGUAGAGCACGUCCUUGAUAAGGGCUAGGUCGCUGGUUCGAACCCUGCAUCUUCAACCA